AAGGAUGGUGGCUGGGGUUCAGUCUGCCGCUGCAAAUACCAAAAGCUGUCCUCAUUGAGUCAUCCCUCCCAGAGCAGGAAGAGCAGAGGUUCUGGGAAACAACCCCAAGGAGAGAGACAGGGCAUUUAUAAAACAGCAUGUAAGCAUCUCUGCAGUUGCUGUCCCCAGAGCCCACUUCCUGGAUAUUGCCAGCUGCCUGGACCAACCUUUCCGAAAGAUCAGCCAGGUCACAGUGAGGGUCAAAGCAGGAGGCCACUGGAGGCUCCAAGGGCUCUGAAAUGUUGAGAACUUCCCUGCAGGUACCAGCGAAGAGGGCAAGAACACAGCACUACUUCCUUGGAUACUGUUUCCCUCCUCAGAGGGGUUUUCUGAGCUGCCCUGGGUCCUGUGAGGAAGAUCUCCCCUUCCUGUAAAGACACCAGUCCUACUGGAUCAGGGCCCACCCGUGUGACUUCACUUUUACUUGAGUACCUCUCACAGACCCUAACUCCAAAUCAGGUCACUUGCUGAGGUACUGCAUGUGAAGACUUUGACAUUUGAAUUUUGAGGGGGCCACCGUUUAACCUGAACCACCAAGGACAGAGCCAAAGACCCUGGGUGACAGGCCCAGAACAGGACCUGGUGGAGGCUCUUCUUUAGGGGAGAGAGGGAAAUGGGAGCCACCACUGGCAGAGCCUGAAGGCAGGGCAGCCAGAAAGAAGCUGUGGGAGUCCCCACCAUGGAAGACCCUGCCGAGCAUCCUGUGUCUCCUGAAGCAGACCCUGACAUGAGGACUGGGGGCACGUGUUUAUUAAGGGCGAUCCCCGGAAGGAGGAGAUAACCAGGCAGAAGUCCUAGCAGAGUAUGCCCACGCUGGUUAGUGCUGCUGCAAAGAUGAGCCGAAGACCAUGAGAGACCUCCAGGUGGUCCUUCUGGGGAGAAGAAAUGGGUUUUGGCCCCAAAUCCUUCUGCUGCAUUUUUCCCCUAUCCCUGGGAAGCCAUGAGACCUCAAACCUGUGUUCCCAAGGAGGCGAGCUGCUGUUCCCAGGUGAUGAUAUGAUGUGCUUGGGGAAAGUAAGUGGCUGCCAGACAUGGCUGAGAGCUGUUGUCACUGCCGUCAAGUGCAUGUCUCCAAGCCAUAUCACACGGCGUCCCUCGAUGUGAGGCCACAUGGCAAGUGGGCCGUGGAUCUCCCUCUGCCCUUUGCAAGCACGUAAGACAGCAGAUUUUGCAGAUACCUUGUGGCGCAGGGGAAUUUCCUUUGGCCAGGUCUGAAGAAAUAAAGCAGCAGGCACCGAGAACAAAGCCAAGGCUUUCAAAAGACAAGGAGCCAAAAAACUUACUCAAAAUAAAAGUAGUUUUAAAAUG
rnacentral:sRNA from 1 species